rnacentral:rRNA from 1 species
UACAGAGGGUGCAAGCGUUAAUCGGAAUUACUGGGCGUAAAGCGCGCGUAGGUGGUUUGUUAAGUUGAAUGUGAAAUCCCCGGGCUCAACCUGGGAACUGCAUCCAAAACUGGCAAGCUAGAGUAGGGCAGAGGGUGGUGGAAUUUCCUGUGUAGCGGUGAAAUGCGUAGAUAUAGGAAGGAACACCAGUGGCGAAGGCGACUACCUGGCCUAUUCUUGACGCUGAGGCGCGAAAGCUGGGGGAGCAAACGGG